GCAAAUCAGUGGUCACCAACAAUCUGCAAACGAAAAAAAAACCCUAAGCUUCCUGCUUCCCUGCCGUCACAGUCAACACCCUGCGCGAUUCCGGUGAGUACUCGUAAACCUUACCACGGUGUUUCUAUCUCAUUCUCUAGGUACAAUACUCGUAAACCUUCUCCUGAUUUAUUAUUUUGAUUUUAUCUUCGAUAACAUUUGUUCUGAUUUUUUUUAAUUAUUAUUAUGUAUCUUCUUUUUUGUCAAUGGUGACUUGGGAUAAUGAUUUUGAUAUCCUUUUAUUAAUAAUAAGGUUAUUGGGGAUCGAGUGAGAGAAUUAUUUGUUGAUUGCAUGUCUUUGUCCGGUUGCUUUUGCUUUUUGUUCUGUAGUAAAAUUGAGAGAAAUUGCACAGUACCUGGCCAUUGUGAAAUAUUAAAGGCAUUUUGAUUAGUCUAAAUUAUUGGUCGGUGUAGCCAAAUAUAUAGAUAUAUUGGAACACUCAAAAUACUGAUUAUGCAACCACAAGGAGCAAAUUAAUUCAGAUUGUAGCUGGUUGAGUGUACAGUUGUAAUCAUGUGGCUGAAUAUGUUAAUUUCUUGUUUGAUGGGCUAUUUUUUUUUUAAAAUGAAGAUUAUAGAGUUGUUAUGGGGGGUGGUUGAAUCAUGUUGCUUCUGUGGAUCUAACAAUCAUGUUGCCUUUUUUGGAUGUAACACACGGAUUUCAUGAUUUUUCUUUUUGAAUUGGCUUCUUUUACUUUUCCUAAUUGAACUCUUUUAAGCUUAAUUUGUUCCUGUCAUUUUUCGUAAUUAAUUUUAAUAAUUUUUCAUAUUGGUGGUGUAGAUGACUUUUCAACUUGAUAAAGGAAAACGCGUAGCUGUAGAUUCAGCUCCCCCAAGUUCUAAAUCAUCCAGUAAUGCUGAAGGUAUGCCCAAUAAAUCCACAACUUCAGAAGCUUGGGAGCAUUUUAUCCAAUUAAGUUCUGAUCCACUACAUCCUAGAUCCAAAUGUCGAUAUUGUGGAAAAGAAUAUAAAUGUGGUUUUAAUAAAGGAACAUCUAAUCUAUUGGGUCAUAUAAGAGAGAGGUCUAAAAUAUCCUGGUCGAGUUCGAGUGGACAAAAAAUAAAAAAACUUUGUCUUACCAACCAGUGAAAAUUGGAGAGCCAUGUAGCCUUGUAUCAGCGACCUAUAGUGUUGAGGCUUGUAGGGAAGCAAUUGCUAAGUUUAUUGUAAAAGAUGAGAUGUCAUUUAGAGUUGUAGAGGGUGAAGGGUUUAUGGAAAUGUUGGGAGUUUUUGAAAAUACAUUUAAAGUACCAUCUCGCACUACUAUUGCUCGUGAUAUUUUGCAACUUUACAAAAAAAUAAAGAAAGAUUUGACUGAUUUUUUUGUUAGUAGUCAUCAAAGAGUUUGCCUCACUACAGACACAUGGACUUCAGCUCAAAAUCUUUGUUAUAUGUGUCUUACAGCUCACUUUAUUGAUGAUAAUUGGACAUUGCACAAAAAAAUAUUGAAUUUUUGUCAAGUUGCUGACCAUAAAGGUGAAACAAUUGGUAGGCAAAUUGAAACAUGCCUAUUAGAUUGGGGCAUUGAGAGAGUUUUUACAGUAACAGUUGAUAAUGCUUCUUCUAAUGAUGGUGUUGUUUUUUAUUUGUUAAAAGUUGUGAACAAUUGGAAUGGUGCAAUAUUAGGGGGUCAAAAUAUGCAUUUGAGGUGUAGUGCACAUAUAUUAAAUCUCAUUAUUGCAGAUGGGUUAAAAGAGUAUCAUUAGUCGAUUUCUAAAAUUCGCAAUGUUGUAAGAUUUGUUAGAUCUUCACCUUCUAGGACACAAAAGUUUAAGGCAUAUGCAGAGCGAGAGAAAAUUUCUUCAAAUAAGUUGUUGUGUCUAGAUGUCGUAACUAGAUGGAAUUCCACUUUUUUCACGUUAGAGGCUGCUGAAAAGUAUGAAAUAGUAUUUGAUCGGUUAGAGCUUCAUGAUGCACAAUACGUUCGAGAGUUUUGUUUGAGCGAGCCAAAAAUGUGUCCUUCUUCAAUUGAUUGGGAAUAUGCUCGUUAUUUCAUUAAAUUCUGGAAGGUUUUUCAUGAUGCCACUUUGACAUUUUCGGGUUCUUUAUAUGUGACAUCCAAUACUUUUUUGCGCCAAUUAUGUUUGAUUCAUACACAAUUGCAAGCUUGAAGGGAUAGUAAGGAUUUAUUUUUGAAGACAAUGGCUGAAAAUAUGAAAAAGAAGUAUGAUAAGUAUUGGGGAAAUUAUGAAACAGUCAACCCUUAUUUGUUUGUUUCUAUUUUGCUUGAGCCUCGACAUAAAGAAUGGUUUUUGAGAUAUUGUUUUGUAGUGUUGUUUGGUGAAUUUAAAGUUAAUGAGUUGGUUGUUAAAGUGCGGAAUAAUUUACAUAGUUUAUAUGAGGAAUACAAAUUGCUUUAUGGUGAUGAUGUGGAAGUAAUGGAUGUUGUCAAUGAUGAAAAAGAGUUAGAGGUUGAUACUAAGGUUGAUGCUAGGCAAGUGUUUGAUUCGGGUUAUAUGAGGAUUUUAAAAGACAAUACUUUUGUAGAGUGCAAAACAGAAGUGGAUCUUUACUUCUUAGAAUCAUGUGAGAACCCAGAAAAUGAGAGUUUUGAUGUUUUGGAUUGGUGGAAGAUUAAUUCUUCCAAAUAUCCAAUUUUGUCUUAUGUUGCUCGAGAUAUUUUGGCCAUGCCUGUUUCUACUGUGGCAUAUGAGUCAGCAUUUAGCACUGGUGGGCGUGUUCUUGAUCCACAUCGGUGCUCACUAUCUACAAGGACGGUGGAGGCAUUAAUUUGCACACAAAAUUGGCUACGUUCAACUCCGAUAAAUCUUGAUGAAGCAAUAGAUGAGAUUGAACAUAUUGAGACAGGUAAAAUGUAACAAUUUAACUUUAAUUUUAUUUUUUGAUUAUUAUUUGACUUUUAUAUUGUUAUUCUAUUUUAAAAAUUGACAUUUUUCUAAUCUUAUACGUACAGAGAUUUUGGGAGCUGACAAGAACAUAUUUGAUGAAGCUUGAUGGCAUUUGAUGGGAUAUAAGGGUAAAUAUUUAUUAAUUUGUUUAUUAAAUAAAUUUUUUUGUUAUUUAUAUCAAUUAUGUUUAUUUUGUUUAGGUUAAAGUAUGAAACACAAAUUGGAGAUGGACGUUUUUUCCUUUUGGUGUGUUUUAUUUUGAGACUUUCAAUGUAUUAUUGUGGC
rnacentral:lncRNA from 1 species